rnacentral:rRNA from 1 species
AGAGUUUGAUCAUGGCUCAGGACGAACGCUGGCGGCGUGCCUAAUACAUGCAAGUAGAACGCUGAAGAGAGGAGCUUGCUCUUCUUGGAUGAGCUGCGAACGGGUGAGUAACGCGUAGGUAACCUGCCUUGUAGCGGGGGAUAACUAUUGGAAACGAUAGCUAAUACCGCAUAACAAUGGAUGACCCAUGUCAUUUAUUUGAAAGGGGCAAAUGCUCCACUACAAGAUGGACCUGCGUUGUAUUAGCUAGUAGGUGAGGUAACGGCUCACCUAGGCGACGAUACAUAGCCGACCUGAGAGGGUGAUCGGCCACACUGGGACUGAGACACGGCCCAGACUCCUACGGGAGGCAGCAGUAGGGAAUCUUCGGCAAUGGGGGCAACCCUGACCGAGCAACGCCGCGUGAGUGAAGAAGGUUUUCGGAUCGUAAAGCUCUGUUGUAAGUCAAGAACGAGUGUGAGAGUGGAAAGUUCACACUGUGACGGUAGCUUACCAGAAAGGGACGGCUAACUACGUGCCAGCAGCCGCGGUAAUACGUAGGUCCCGAGCGUUGUCCGGAUUUAUUGGGCGUAAAGCGAGCGCAGGCGGUUUGAUAAGUCUGAAGUUAAAGGCUGUGGCUCAACCAUAGUUCGCUUUGGAAACUGUCAAACUUGAGUGCAGAAGGGGAGAGUGGAAUUCCAUGUGUAGCGGUGAAAUGCGUAGAUAUAUGGAGGAACACCGGUGGCGAAAGCGGCUCUCUGGUCUGUAACUGACGCUGAGGCUCGAAAGCGUGGGGAGCGAACAGGAUUAGAUACCCUGGUAGUCCACGCCGUAAACGAUGAGUGCUAGGUGUUGGAUCCUUUCCGGGAUUCAGUGCCGCAGCUAACGCAUUAAGCACUCCGCCUGGGGAGUACGACCGCAAGGUUGAAACUCAAAGGAAUUGACGGGGGCCCGCACAAGCGGUGGAGCAUGUGGUUUAAUUCGAAGCAACGCGAAGAACCUUACCAGGUCUUGACAUCCCGAUGCUAUUUCUAGAGAUAGAAAGUUACUUCGGUACAUCGGUGACAGGUGGUGCAUGGUUGUCGUCAGCUCGUGUCGUGAGAUGUUGGGUUAAGUCCCGCAACGAGCGCAACCCCUAUUGUUAGUUGCCAUCAUUCAGUUGGGCACUCUAGCGAGACUGCCGGUAAUAAACCGGAGGAAGGUGGGGAUGACGUCAAAUCAUCAUGCCCCUUAUGACCUGGGCUACACACGUGCUACAAUGGUUGGUACAACGAGUUGCGAGUCGGUGACGGCAAGCUAAUCUCUUAAAGCCAAUCUCAGUUCGGAUUGUAGGCUGCAACUCGCCUACAUGAAGUCGGAAUCGCUAGUAAUCGCGGAUCAGCACGCCGCGGUGAAUACGUUCCCGGGCCUUGUACACACCGCCCGUCACACCACGAGAGUUUGUAACACCCGAAGUCGGUGAGGUAACCUUUUGGAGCCAGCCGCCUAAGGUGGGAUAGAUGAUUGGGGUGAAGUCGUAACAAGGUA